GUCAGUCAGUAGUGUCCAUUCCCAGACCCCAAGAAGGCCAACUGUGGCCAACAGUGUUCCCUGGUGGCCAAGAAGUCCAAUAUUGGCCAAGAGGUUCCCUGUGAGUCUCUAUGGUGUGUUUUGGUGGCCAAGAAGGCCAACGGUGGCCAAGAGGUUCCCAGUGAGCCACUGGUCUCCCUUCCCUCUCCCUAAGAAGGCCAACAUUG